UAAAGUUGCGUCCCCAGCUCAGGCUCAAGAAGUGCACGCUGCUUUAAGGAAAUGGCUUCAUGAAAAUGUGAGCCCUCAAGUUGCUGAAUCAACCAGGAUUAUAUAUGGAGGUUCUGUAAAUGGAGCCAACUGCAAGGAACUUGCAGGACAACCUGAUGUCGAUGGAUUCCUUGUUGGUGGCGCUUCUUUGAAGCCGGAAUUUGUGGAGAUCAUCAAGGCCGCUACAGUGAAAUCUUCGACCUAAGGAGACUUUUGCAGUGUUUGCGUCAUCUCUUUACUGUUUUAGGUUUUUUGAGUGUUUUGUUUUAGGUUUUUUGAGUGUUUUGUUUUAGGUUUUUUGAGUGUUU
rnacentral:misc_RNA from 1 species